GACGAACGCUGGCGGCGUGCUUAACACAUGCAAGUCGAACGGAGAAGCCCUGCUCUUGUGGGGUGCUGGAGUGGCGAGCGGGAGAGUAAAACGAGAGUAACCUGACCUGGACUCUGGGAUAUCAUCAGGAAACUAGGGCUAAUACAGGAUAGGAGAUCCUGCUGCAUGGUGGGGGUGGGAAAGUUUCGGCGGUUGUGGCGGGGCGCGCGGGUUAUACGCUGGUUGGGGGGGUAGUGGCUUACAAAGGCUUUGACGGGUAGCCGGCCUGAGAGGGUGACCGGCCCCAUUGGGACUGCGAUACGGACCAGCCUCCUACGGUAGGCAGCAGUGGGGAAUAGUGCACAACGGGCGCAAGCCUGAUGCAGCAGCGCCGCGUGCGUGAUGACGGCCUUUGGGUUGUAAACCGCUUUUGCCUGGGAUGAAGCGUGAGUGACGGUAACUGGUAAAGAAGCACCGGCUAACUACGUG
rnacentral:rRNA from 1 species